CGCCUCCCGGCCAAGGAGGGAAGACGCUGUAAAAGGGGAGUUCGGCUCCGCCGAAGAAGUUUUCCCGGAGUCGGAAACUUGGCGUGCCCCCCUCCGGCCCGUCCAACACGGGGCGGCCGGGCCGGGGGCCGGAGACCCCGUCCGCGUGAGGCCAUAGGUCGCUCUGGGGCGAGUGUCACGUUCAGAUCAUGCUCUGGGACGCGGCGAGUGCCGGGAGCCGACCUGGCGAGCGAGAUAACGUUUCGUCGCGGAGCUGUUUUGCGAGGCCGUUUUCUAAGAAAUGACAGGAUUUAGGUGGUUUUCAGCCGUUCGUCCGAGGAAGAUAAAUGGCAGCGCGUCGCUACCCCGCUCCGGGUUAGGAGUUAACGCUCCGCUUAGGCCUCUUGUUCGUUUCGCAGCGCGAUUUAUCAGCAGAGAAGCAAACAUAGGUUUGCACGAGGCUGGGAAAGACUAACAGUCGGCGUGAAAGAACCAUGUCUGUUCGGGAGUCCUUUAACCCAGAGAGCUACGAACUGGACAAGAGCUUCCGCCUGACCCGAUUCACUGAACUGAAAGGCACAGGCUGCAAAGUGCCUCAGGAUGUUUUACAGAAACUACUUGAAUCCUUACAAGAAAACCAUUUCCAAGAAGAUGAACAGUUUCUUGGAGCUGUUAUGCCCCGGUUGGGAAUUGGGAUGGACACAUGCGUUAUUCCUUUAAGACAUGGAGGUCUGUCUUUGGUCCAGACAACAGAUUACAUUUAUCCAAUUGUGGAUGACCCAUACAUGAUGGGACGUAUAGCCUGUGCCAAUGUCCUAAGUGACCUUUAUGCCAUGGGGGUCACAGAGUGCGACAACAUGUUGAUGCUCCUUGGAAUCAGUAAUAAAAUGACGGACAGGGAAAGGGACAAAGUGAUGCCUCUAAUUAUCCAGGGCUUCAAAGAUGCAGCAGAAGAGGCAGGGACUUCUGUGACCGGUGGCCAAACGGUGUUAAAUCCUUGGAUUGUUCUUGGAGGAGUGGCCACAACAGUCUGUCAGCCUAAUGAAUUCAUAAUGCCAGACAAUGCAGUGCCAGGAGAUGUACUUGUAUUAACUAAACCCUUGGGAACACAAGUGGCUGUAGCGGUCCACCAGUGGCUAGAUAUUCCAGAAAAAUGGAAUAAAAUCAAACUGGUGGUAACGCAAGAAGAUGUAGAGCUAGCAUACCAGGAGGCAAUGAUGAAUAUGGCAAGGCUCAACAGAACAGCUGCUGGACUAAUGCACACUUUUAAUGCACAUGCAGCUACAGAUAUCACAGGAUUUGGUAUUCUGGGGCAUGCACAGAACUUAGCCAAACAGCAGCGAAAUGAGGUGUCCUUUGUUAUUCAUAACCUCCCUGUCCUAGCCAAGAUGGCUGCAGUUAGCAAGGCGUGUGGCAAUAUGUUUGGACUCAUGCAUGGUACCUGUCCUGAGACUUCAGCAUCAGUUGGCAGCAGCUGUGGGUCCCUGCUUCCUAUGGUUUCAUUUGGAGACAGAGGAGGCCUCCUCAUCUGUUUGCCACGUGAACAGGCUGCACGUUUCUGUGCUGAGAUCAAAUCUCCCAAGUACGGCGAGGGUCACCAAGCAUGGAUCAUUGGGAUCGUAGAGAAGGGGAACCGCACUGCCAGAAUUAUAGAUAAACCACGAAUCAUUGAAGUUGCACCGCAAGUGGCCACUCAAAACGUGAACCCAACACCUGGUGCCACUUCUUAAUCUAGGCAAAAUAGCAAUUUGUUUUGUUUUUAAAUAGAUCUAUUCCUUUAUCAUCCUACAAUUUAAAGAACUGUAAAAAGAAAAAAAAAAAGAAACGCAUUGUGUCUGCACAUCUGGUGGCCUUAGGUCAGUUUGAGUGGAUACAAUUAAUAAAAUAAAAUCCAUUGCCUUUUUUUCCUGUUACAUUAACUGAAGAUGCACCUAAUCUUGAGGCAGCUUCUGAGUUGAGAAAUAUAUUGUUAUCCAAUACUGUUGAUUCAUUUUGAAUCUUUAGACACUUAUCUCUUGCCGCAUAGGCUUUUUUUAAAGGUGCUUUCACGUAGCACAGACAUUACCAGUAGUAGUGUCAAAUAGCAGUUUGUGUCCUUUCAUUGUAUGUAUAUUUAUCAUUAUAAGUCUAAUUUCGGAUGCCUUGAAUGAUAUUCCGAAGAGGCAAUAAAUUGAGAAGUGACACAUUGGGUUAUACCCAGUAGUGAGAGGGUUGCAUGAUUAAUUCAAUCUUUGUUUUGUAAAGUUUAGUCUUACCCAAGAGCAUCUACAUCCCUGGUCACUGCUUGGUAGCACACUCUGUUAAACGAACAAGUGCUGACUUUGCAUGGAAAGCGCUUCAGAGUUGAAGGAGACAUUUUUAAUUUCAUUAUUUGUAGACCUGACAAUAUUUACUGUAUUAUCAAUAAUUGUUUUUUUAUUGAUAGUAAGGAGAAAAAUAAUUGCUCUUUUCUUGCAAUGUGAUUGGAUGUGCUAUAGUGCAACAAGGUAUAGCAGACCAAAAGGGGAUUACUGUAUAAUAUUCAUUUACAAUUCACUAUAUAAUUAACUACACAUUUUUUUUUUUUAAAUAUAAUCAAUCUAAAAUAAACCUCUGUUCUGUGGAUGGUAGUGUUUAAUACAUUUUAUAUUUUGUAUAGUGAUUACCAGCCAUUUUUGUUUCUUUAAAAUCAGCAGCUGUUUAGUAUAAUUCUUAGUAUUAUUUUGUUCUUUGCUCAAAUACAUUUUUGUGCACGCUUUUGUGAUCUGUGUUUAAAAAUCUACAUUGCCAACAUUGCAGCUUGAACUUAAGCUUGUUAUUCAAAUAAAUAUUUAAUUUUUUUUAUUGCUCUUGUAUAAGUGCAUGAACUUUUUUGAUUUCUACUUAAAAUACAGGUUGAAGGAAGAAAAAUCCUUCCUGAUUUUUUUUUUUUUAUUAUUAUUUUUAUUUUUUUAAUAAUAAUCAUGGUGGUGGUGAUAAUGGUUGCUGUCGCCCCACAAACAGGUUUUCUAAGCCGUUAUGUCCAAGGUAACCACCUUUUAUAUAUCUCUUGCCUGCAUGUCAGACCUGUGGGUCAAUUGACUGCCUGGAAGUCUCUCUUCCUUUUACUUGGAACAAUAGAUUUUGUGAUUUUUUUAUUUUUUUUUUAAUUUUUUUUUUUUGUUCUUUUUAUCCAUAAGUCAGCUGUUCUCUCCUGCUGUAAAAUGUCUACGUGGGACUUCCUUGAUCAGUAUCCCAUCUGGAACGCUCUUCACCUGAAAGUUACAAGUCUUCUCUGACAAAGCAUUAAGCGGUAUAAUUGGACCUCGUUUGUCACUGAAUGUUCCAAGAGGAUCUGAUUGGUUUAGCUGUGCUCUAUAACCUUCCAGAAGGAGUGAAACUUGCACACCGUAUCAGUUUCUUGCUGCAUAGAGCUCAAAACCCAGGUCUUGGUUACCCUUCUCUUCCUGGAGGGCUUGAAAGCUAGUAGGAUCCUGACCAUGUUACCAUGAAAGUGGAACCUGGGUGAUGACUUUUACUGCAGUGUAGCUUAUCAAAAGGAUUUGAAAAUAAUUCACUCAAAUGAAUAUUGUUUAUAAGAGUAGAAUGCAAAGGUCAGAAUUUCUUAGCCACGUCACCUUCUAUCAUACAGAGUGCUAUAAAAUUUAAAAAAAAACAGUUUUCCUUAUUUUUAAAGAAUUUGAAUAUACCAUGGCCUUCCGGUAUCUACUGAAGGGGGCUAUUUAUUCUACAGCAAGUCCAGAGCACUACAGUAUACAAUGGUUACUGCAGUGUUUGGAAUCAGUAUUAUGUUUGUGACUACAAAGAUGAAUGCCUGUAAAAUGCAUUCAGUCAUAAUAUUAGAAAGGACAUUAAAGGUCAUCAAAUCCAUCCCUUUGCACAUAUGUAGGAUGCAUUAUGAAAUAUACUAACUCUUACUUUCUCAAACAGAUCUGGACUAGUCACAACUACCUGUAUGAUAGGUAGACGGGAGGAGGGUCCCCAAAUUUAUUUUGGUUGUGACAUCACGGGGCAUAGUAUGGUAAAGGUGGAAAAUCACUGCAUGAACCAGCUUUAGCCCUGCUCAUCCAAGAAGCAUAACUGAGCAGUCAGAGGUAAGAGAAAUGAAUAAUUCCAAAACACAGGAAAAGUGUUUUUGGGAGUUGGUUGGCAUUUUCAUUGAACAAUUUCUAAAUCAGUGAGAAACUUUGUAGACCAACCCCAUACUAAAAAAUUCCCUUUGUUGGUAUAACUGGAAAUAAGUAAAUGAAUAAAACAAUGUUGCAGAAGACUCUAGUAGCCAAUACAUUCAUUGCAGGUGAUGUGAACAUCUAGUUGUGCUGUAAGCAGUUCCACGUCAGGGGACUCCAAAACCCCAUUACAGUUCCACUUUUUGGUUUAACUAGGACCUUAAUUGGGUUCCCAAAAAUUCCAAGCAUUUAUACAUGUCCUUUUCUUUUUAUUUGGCAUGUCCAUGAUUAACGCACUUUGGGAAUGCAAAGAGUAGUUAGCUGUUAGUAUGAGGCCAGGCAGAAGGCAGGACAGCAUUGCAUCUUCUAGCCCAACUAAUUCAGAGAUGCAUCGGUUUUUAUAAGCAACAGCUUAUCUCAUCAGAUGCUAAAUGACAAAGUAAGCUGCUGCUUACAAAAGCUUAUGCAUUUUGGAAUGCAGUUAAAAUCCCAUUUAUGUUGCACCAUAAUGCUGUGUCCUGAAAAUAAAGUGGGACCACAAAAUGCCAAACAGGUACUGGAGCACACAGGACCGACACACUUAGAAACCACUAUCAAGCAGAGGAAGUUGCAAUGGCUUGGCCAUGUCAGGAGAAUGGGAGAAGUGUAUCCCAAAGAAUAUUUUGUACAAUGAAAUUUGAGCUAACUCUAGAAAGCAGGGUUGUCUUUUAUGGCAGUACCAUGACAUGUGCAAAAGUUAUAUGAAGCCAUUCAACUUCAGUGUAGAAAGCUGGAAGGAUCGUGCAGAAUUCCAUCCAGUCUGGAGGGACCAUCUGGCACUGGAGGCAGCUCAACGUGAAGCAAGUUGGAUCCAGAAAAUGGAAGCAAAGCAAGAAAGAAGCGUGUUGUAAACUUGGACUCCAACUCGGACAAUGCAUAGAUCUGUGAAACUUGUAACAACCUGUGUUGCUCUCAAAUUGGGCUUGUCAGCCGCAAGUGGAUUCAGCAGGCACCUGACUAGAUCCCGUACAUCAUGAUCCAGAGGAUUGACAGUUGCCUAUGUAUUACCUAUAAUGUUGUGUCCCAAACAGAUCCUCCCAUGCAAUUCACAUAAAUCCUUAGUGAUCCCAGAAUACUUUGCUGGUUUAGUUUGUGAUCACAGCUCCUUUAGCUGUUGGUGUCAGUGUGUUUAGUAGGGGUGGGCGAAGCAGGCAGUAUUUGAUUUGGAUUCAAAUUUGGCCCAAUUCGGGGGACAGCAAUUUGAUUAGCU